rnacentral:rRNA from 1 species
CCUACGGGUGGCAGCAGUGAGGAAUAUUGGUCAAUGGCCGGAAGGCUGAACCAGCCAUGCCGCGUGAAGGUCAGUGCCCUAUGGGCGUUAAACUUCUUUUGUGCGGGAGCAAUAAUGGUCACGUGUGGCCAGACGAGAGUACCGUACGAAUAAGCAUCGGCUAACUCCGUGCCAGCAGCCGCGGUAAUACGUAGGGAGCAAGCGUUGUCCGGAAUUACUGGGCGUAAAGGGCGCGUAGGUGGGCGCUUAAGUCAGGUGUGAAAACUCCGGGCUCAACCUGGAGACUGCACUUGAAACUGGGUGUCUUGAGGGCAGGAGAGGAAAGUGGAAUUCCUAGUGUAGCGGUGAAAUGCGUAGAUAUUAGGAGGAACACCAGUGGCGAAGGCGACUUUCUGGACUGUACCUGACGCUGAGGCGCGAAAGCGUGGGUAGCAAACAGGAUUAGAUACCCGAGUAGUC